GCAGAUACUUAUGUCAUGUAUGUUCGCAUAUGUUCAUCUGAUGUUGUCAUUAUUCCUUGGCAGUAAUUCAUGCACAUGAGGUUUCACACAAUUUACAUGGAAUGUGAGCUUUUGUCAUCACUUGGAGUCUGUCUGCAGUAUGCAUCUGUUGUCCACUGGAAACCAAUCUUCUCUGAAACUACUGAACAAGUUCAAAAUUAAACCACAC
rnacentral:lncRNA from 1 species